GAUGAACGCUGGCGGCGUGCCUAAUACAUGCAAGUCGAGCGAACGGACGAUAAGCUCGCUCCCUUGCUGUUAGCGGCGGACGGGCGAGUAACACGUGGAUCACCUACUUAUAUUUCUGGGAUGAUUACGGGAAACCGCAGCUACUACCGCCUCAUACUUCGAACCGCUUGGUUCAAAAGUGCUUGACGGCUUUCCCGUUUCAUUUAGCUGGUUCCGCGCUGCAUUAGCUAGUUGGUAAGGUAACGGCAUACCAAGGCUACGAUGCAUAGCCGACCUGAGAGGGUGAUCGGCCACACUGGAACUGAGACACGGUCCAGACUCCUACGGGAGGCAGCAGUGGGGAAUCUUCCGCAAUGGGCGAAAGCCUGACGGAGCAACACCGCGUGAGUGAUGAAGGUCUUCGGAUCGUAAAACUCUGUUAUUAGGGAAGAACAGAUGUGUAAGUAACUGUGCACGUCUUGACGGUACCUAAUCAGAAAGCCACGGCUAACUACGUG
rnacentral:rRNA from 1 species